GUCCUCAUGUUUUUAUUUGAGGUUUGGCCUGCCCGGUGAUUUUAAUUUAACGGCCGCGGUAUAUUGACCGUGCAAAGGUAGCAUAAUCAUUAGUCUUUUAAUAGGAGGCUGGAAUGAAAGGUUUAACGAAAAAUUAGCUGUCUUAAUUAUAAAUUCGAAUUUAACUUUUAAGUGAAAAGGCUUAAAUUUUUUUGUAGGACGAGAAGACCCUAUAGAGCUUUACAUUUAAUUUUUUGCUAUAUUAAUUUAGAUUAAUGUUUUUAAUUUACUUGAAAAAGUGUUUUGUUGGGGUGACAAGAAAUAUAUAUUUAACUUUUAUAUUAUAUUUUCAUUAAUUUAUGAUUAUUGGAUCCAAAACUUUUGAUCAUUAGAAUAAGUUACCUUAGGGAUAACAGCGUAAUCUUCCUUCAGAGUUCAAAUUUACGGGAAGGCUUGCGACCUCGAUGUUGGAUUAAGAUAACAAUUGGGUGCAGUAGCUCAAUAUGUAGGUCUGUUCGACCUUUAAAUUCUU
rnacentral:rRNA from 1 species